CUAAACUUUUUUAUUACAACAUUUAUUCUAAUCCAACGUUUCGGGGCAUGCCCCUUUCAUCCUUGAUGAAGGGGCAUGCCCCGAAACGUUGGAUUAGAAUAAAUGUUGUAAUAA
rnacentral:pre_miRNA from 1 species